rnacentral:rRNA from 1 species
AUUGAACGCUGGCGGCAUGCCUUACACAUGCAAGUCGAACGGCCGCGCGGGCUUCGGCCUGGCGGCGUGUGGCGAACGGGUGAGUAAUAAAUCCGUACGUGCCCUGUCUAGGGGACUAGCACGGCGUAAGCCGGCUUAAUAUCGCACACGAUCAGAGGUUGAAAGCCGGGGAUCUUCGGACCUCGCGCUUCUUGCGCGGACGAUGGCGCAUUAGCUAGUUGGUUGGGUAAAGGCCUAACAAGGCGACGAUCUGUAGCUGAUCUGAGAGGCCGACCAGCCACACUGGAACUGAGACACGGCCCAGACUCCUACGGGAGGCAGCAGUAGGGAAUCUUGGGCAAUGGGCGAAAGCCUGAUGCAGCAACGCCGCGUGUGUGAUGAAGGCCUUCGGGUUGUAAAGCACUGUUAGUAGGAAAGAAAAGAAGUGUGAGAAUACGUCCAUUCGAUGACGGUACCCGAAGAGUAAGCCCCGGCUAACUACGUG